rnacentral:rRNA from 1 species
UACGAAGGGGGCAAGCGUUGUUCGGAUUUACUGGGCGUAAAGCGCGCGUAGGCGGAUCGCUAAGUCAGGGGUGAAAUCCCGAGGCUCAACCUCGGAACUGCCUUUGAUACUGACGAUCUGGAGAUCGGGAGAGGUGAGUGGAAUUCCGAGUGUAGAGGUGAAAUUCGUAGAUAUUCGGAGGAACACCAGAAGCGAAGGCGGCUCACUGGCCCGAUACUGACGCUGAGGCGCGAAAGCGUGGGGAGCAAACAGG